AUGGGUCUCCCGCUUGAGCAGUGGCGCGGCAGCGAGGAGGCGGACAGUGGCGGCGGCAAGCAGGCGGAGGCCUCCGGGUGCAGGACGCCGAGCGGCUCCAAGGCCCGCGCGGCCGCCGACGGGGGCUGCCCCGCGCCUCCUAGGAAGAGGAGGGCCGCGCCCGGGGCCGUCUCGCAGCAGGGCGGCAGGGGCUUCUACGCCGGCGCCGACGUCGAAGCCUUCUUCGCCUCAAACAACCUCUAG
rnacentral:rRNA from 1 species